GAUGAACGCUGGCGGCGUGCCUAAUACAUGCAAGUCGAGCGAACAGACGAGGAGCUUGCUCCUCUGACGUUAGCGGCGGACGGGUGAGUCACACGUGGAUAACCUACCUAUAAGACUGGGAUAACUUCGGGAAACCGGAGCUAAUACCGGAUAAUAUAUUGAUCCGCAUGGUUCAAUAGUGAAUGACGGUUUUGCUGUCUCUUAUAGAUGGAUCCGCGCCGCAUUAGCUAGUUGGUAAGGUAACGGCUUACCAAGGCAACGAUGCGUAGCCGACCUGAGAGGGGGAUCGGCCACACUGGAACGGAGACACGGACCAGACGCCUACGGGAGGCAGCAGUAGGGAAUGGUCCGAAAUGGGCGAAAGCCUGACGGAGCAACGCCGCGUGAGUGAUGAAGGUCUUCGGAUCGUAAAACUCUGUUAUGAGGGAAGAACAAAUGUGUAAGUAAAUAUGCACGUAGUGACGGUAACUAAUAAGAAAGCAACGGCUAACUACGUG
rnacentral:rRNA from 1 species